CACCGUGUGAGCGAUGAAGGCCUUAGGGUCGUAAAGCUCUGUUGUUAGGGACGAAGGGCGAAGGGUUAAUAGCCCUUAGCCUGACGGUACCUUUCGAGGAAGCCCCGGCUAACUACGUGCCAGCAGCCGCGGUAAUACGUAGGGGGCGAGCGUUGUCCGGAAUUAUUGGGCGUAAAGGGCGCGUAGGCGGCUUGGUAAGUCUGCUGUGAAACCUUGGGGCUCAACCCCAAGCGUGCAGUGGAUACUGCCAAGCUAGAGGAUGGUAGAGGCCAGUGGAAUUCCCGGUGUAGCGGUGAAAUGCGCAGAUAUCGGGAGGAACACCAGUAGCGAAGGCGGCUGGCUGGGCCAUUCCUGACGCUGAGGCGCGAAAGCUAGGGGAGCAAACAGGAUUAGAUACCCUGGUAGUCCUAGCCGUAAACGAUGAACACUAGGUGUGGGGGGAGUCGAAUCCCUCCGUGCCGAAGCCAACGCGUUAAGUGUUCCGCCUGGGGAGUACGGCCGCAAGGCUAAAACUCAAAUGAAUUGACGGGG
rnacentral:rRNA from 1 species